CUCUCGAGAAGAGCCGACUAUGACGGUCCCAGGGUGUGGGACAAUUCGCGGGCCUGCGCCGAUGCUGUCGCAGACGUCCCGCGGUCUGGGCUCCGCGCCGAUGGGGACGUCCGGGCUGGAAAGCUCCGAGAAGCGUGGGACUGAAAAACGUUGAGGACCUUUGUACUGUGCUGGGGGCCUCCAGAGUUAAGGACGGUGUGAUUUGUGUUCCUGGGGCUUAAAAACAGUGUAAAAGCAUACGUAGGUCCAAGCCUAAGUGCACAAGUAGUUCCUCGCCUUAGGACAGGUGGAUGCUAACCAAGGUGGUGUAGUUUUAAAGCUGGAACUGAUUUCAUGAUCUUCCCCCAACUCCCACCCCGCUUCUUCGUUCCGUAAAUGCACCAGCCUCGGAGAUACCAAUCACUUCAGUUUUCCUCCAGGACAAUGCACCAAGAUCAGACAGAUGAGAAUUCUCACUUGAAGACAGGUGAUCAUCCAUCUGAAAGAGGAGACAUGUUAUUUACCCCAAUGGAGCAAUGAUUUGUGCAGUGGGACUCACUCACUUAACCAGAGUAUCCCCAGGAUAGAAAAAGGACCAGGAGAGAAGGCCAUGUUCAUCAAAAGGUACAGAAAGCGCAAAGAAAGCUUCCAAGUACUGUUGUUGCCUUUCUUCCUUUUGAUCCUCUCUCCCCAUAGAGUACCUUUUUUUUUUUGAAAGCAUACUUUUCCAAGUUGUUACAUUAACAAAUUUGCACUGAUUUCUUUAUCCUUGUCAUCUAAAGACCACCUUGUUGGCGGAUGGUGAACUUUUCCUUCAUGCCAGGCCUGCUGCACUGUCUAAUGUCACAAGUGUCUGCUCACAUUAGCUCCCGGAGACUGAAGAAGAUUCCGCAUGGGGCCUUUCCAGCAAGUUGAUUUGACAGAAUGAGUCCCCAUGCUAGCUCGUGGCACUUAUCAGUUAGCCAGCCUUCCUUGGGGAGGAGAAUUUAGAGUGCACCAUAUUCAGUUUCCAAAUCAACUGCUGUCCCCUCAGGAAGCUGUGUGUUGCAUUAUUAAAAAAGAUGCCUUUGACCAUAGCGCCAUACUUAAACAUUCAUCCAACCACAUUAAAAAAAAAAAAAAAAAAAGGUAGAGUGAGGGGACCACAAAAUGCCCCGCCCCCUUCCCUGUGUUAACUCUUUAUCCCCGGGUUUCGGGUCUCCCUCAAUGAACAGUCCUGUAACACACACACUUGUUAUUUUGUGAACCCUUGUCUUUAUUUUACUUUUUCUUUUUUUUAAGAUUUCCUCUGCCUUUAUUUUAAUUACUUGGAAUGGCUAUGAAACCUUCCCCUAAAUUGUACAACCUUGGGGCUGAGAUCACCAUAUGCCCAACCUCUGCUUUUUACUGAGUUCCCAUAGGAAAGUCAAAUCCAAGAAUCUAGCCACCAGCAGCAGCAAUGACUUUGGCUUAUCUGUUACCUACUUCUCUUAGGAGUUCAAAUGAAAUGCAAGAAUUAGUUGUGAGUUGAAAAUGAACAGAUCUGAAGCCCACAACUUUAAUUAUUACAACUUCACAUAUUUCUAAUUUUUUAAAAAAAUAAAGUUUAUAUUCAGUUUACCUUUAUCUUUCCAGAGGAGGAAUUGACAAGA